rnacentral:rRNA from 1 species
CCUACGGGAGGCAGCAGUGGGGAAUAUUGCACAAUGGGCGGAAGCCUGAUGCAGCAACGCCGCGUGAGGGACGACGGCCUUCGGGUUGUAAACCUCUUUUAGCAGGGAAGAAGCGAGAGUGACGGUACCUGCAGAAAAAGCACCGGCUAACUACGUGCCAGCAGCCGCGGUAAU